UACAGUUUUGAUGCUAGAAUAAAAAUUUUAACUUAAAUGUGUUGUUCUCAUCAAUACCUAUCGAUUGACUGAAAAAGAGUUUGCCACGCCCUCUUUAACGACCACGAACUUUAAGAAACCGUAAAUAUGAACGUGGAUAUCGUGGAAACUAUCAAAGAUAGAGAAUUGGGAUUUCAGAUUUAGAUUCCGUAGCCUUGUACGCAGCGCAAGGGAUAAACUUCCGUUUAGCUCCAACGCCCGAUUUUUUUCAAACUUUCCAUAUCAACGUCUUUUUGGGUCCUGAUUACGGGAAAAAUACUCAAAGUUGGCGCAAAUAACGGGAUCUUGGAAAAUAACGGUAAAAGCCGUAAAAAUUUUUGUUUUUUGCUGUUUUUUCCGAAAAUAUAAGGAAAAUCAAAAAAUGUCUCAGACAAAAACAAAAGAUAUUUAUAAAAGGGAUAUUUUUUGUUAUAGUCAUUUUUUCCGAAAACUUAAUGGUUUUCGAAAAAAACGGAAAAGAAAUAUUUUAAAUAUUAGGUGAACAUUUAAAAAUAUUGCAUUAUCCCGCCAUAAAAAUGGGGUCAGAUAGUUACGAUUAAUCGAUAACAGCAUUUUAGGUGAUGGACCAUUUUCGAAUUUUUUGUACGAUAUAUCGUACUCAUGUUUCUUUUUCCCAUAUAGCGAAUUAUACAAUCACUAUGCAUUUAAAGCUUGAACUGAGAAGACCUGAAAAUGGAAGAACUUAAUUUGUUCAAUCAUUUUAUCAAAAGUGGCUUUAAUCGCCAAGGGAACGUCCUCAUCAUCAAUUUUAAUAAAGUUGACGUUUUCUGCCUUAGUAAACCGGAUCUUUUCGUUUCCGUUGCUUGUGUGCAGGACAUUGCCGGUAAAAUCGAGUUUCGCAUUCACUUGUUUAAGCAAGUCGAGCCCGAUAAUACCGUCAAAGUCUCUAAGUAAAGCCAUGGAUUGACUUCACUGUGAAUGUUUUUUCCGCUGCCACGAUGCCUUUCAGCCCCGGGAUUGGAGUAAUAUAAUUUUUUGAAAUGACUGUA